rnacentral:rRNA from 1 species
UACGGAGGGUGCAAGCGUUAUCCGGAUUCACUGGGUUUAAAGGGUGCGUAGGCGGGCAGGUAAGUCCGUGGUGAAAUCUCUGAGCUUAACUCAGAAACUGCCAUGGAUACUAUUUGUCUUGAAUAUUGUGGAGGUAAGCGGAAUAUGUCAUGUAGCGGUGAAAUGCUUAGAUAUGACAUAGAACACCAAUUGCGAAGGCAGCUUACCACACAGUUAUUGACGCUGAGGCACGAAAGCGUGGGGAUCAAACAGG